rnacentral:rRNA from 1 species
AGCGAACGCUGGCGGCAGGCCUAACACAUGCAAGUCGAACGAACCUUUCGGGGUUAGUGGCGGACGGGUGAGUAACACGUGGGAACGUGCCUUUAGGUUCGGAAUAACUCAGGGAAACUUGUGCUAAUACCGAAUGUGCCCUUCGGGGGAAAGAUUUAUCGCCUUUAGAGCGGCCCGCGUCUGAUUAGCUAGUUGGUUGAGGUAAUGGCUCACCAAGGCGACGAUCAGGAGCUGGUCUGAGAGGAUGAUCAGCCACAUUGGGACUGAGACACGGCCCAAACUCCUACGGGAGGCAGCAGUGGGGAAUCUUGCGCAAUGGGUGAAAGCCUGACGCAGCCAUGCCGCGUGAAUGAUGAAGGUCUUAGGAUUGUAAAAUUCUUUCACCGGGGACGAUAAUGACGGUACCCGGAGAAGAAGCCCCGGCUAACUUCGUG